rnacentral:rRNA from 1 species
UACGAAGGGGGCUAGCGUUGUUCGGAAUUACUGGGCGUAAAGGGCGCGUAGGCGGUCCCUCAAGUCAGGCGUGAAAGCCCCGGGCUCAACCUGGGAACCGCGCUUGAGACUGAUGGGCUAGAGUUCGGGAGAGGAUGGUGGAAUUCCUAGUGUAGAGGUGAAAUUCGUAGAUAUUAGGAAGAACACCAGUGGCGGAGGCGGCUCACUGGUCCGGUACUGACGCUGAGGUGCGAAAGCGUGGGGAGCAAACAGG